AAGUCCACCAUUGAUGUACUUCGAGGGACUAUGUCAGUUGUGUCCCAGUUCACUAAAGUGUUCAAUGAUUUUCGGCUUUCUAAUGCCAUUUCAGAUUGCCUUGAGUUGCUGGAUUUUGCAGCUGAUGAUCUGAGCUGGUCCCUUUCUGCCAUUCAGAAUCCUAAAGGUAUAUACAAGUAUGGUACUUUUUUUUUGUCUUUCCCAUGUUAGAUUUCUAGUUCAACUAGCUAAAAAAGUUGAUUGUAGGUAAAGAUAACGGUACCGGCGAUCUGGGGUCGGAUUUGAAGACAUGGUUGAGCUCUACUUUCACUAAUCAGGACACAUGCAUAGAGGGAUUUGUUGGUACCAAUGGAAUUGUCAAGACAGUGGUAGCUGAAAGCCUGAGCCAAGUAGCUUCAUUAGUCCACAGCCUUCUUACUAUGGUCCAUGAUCCAGCUCCCAAAGGCAAAUCCAAUGGCGGUGGUGGCGGUGUGAAGCACGUGGGCAGCGGUGAUUUUCCAUCAUGGGUUGGCAAACACAGCAGGAAGCUCCUUCAGGCCUCAUCAGUGUCACCAGAUGUUACAGUAGCUGCAGAUGGAACUGGGAAUUAUACUACUGUGAUGGAUGCAGUCCAAGCAGCCCCUGAUUACAGCCAGAACCACUAUGUAAUCUACAUCAAGCAAGGCAUUUAUAGGGAGAAUGUGGAGAUCAAGAAGAAGAAAUGGAACCUGAUGAUGGUCGGAGAUGGGAUGGGCGCUACUGUCAUUACUGGAAACCGGAGCUACAUCGAUGGCUGGACUACAUAUGCAUCUGCAACCUUUGGUAUGAGUUCAUUGAGUUGUGUCUUAAUUUUUGGCAUGCCAUUUUCUUCCACCAUGACCCCAUGCUUUUGAAUAUAGAGAAAGAGAAAUUAAUGCUUUGCAUUCAAGUUUAGGAUGCAAAAGACUAGGAAAAAUCUCUGCCCAACUACCAACCAAGCUGGAGUCAACCUAAUAGUUUUAACUAAUUUGGCAUAAUGGAAUGCAGCUGUUAAGGGCAAAGGAUUUAUUGCAAGAGACAUGACAUUUGAGAACACGGCAGGACCAGAGAAGCACCAAGCGGUAGCAUUGAGGUCCGAUUCAGACCUUUCGGUCUACUACAGAUGCAGCAUGAGGGGAUACCAGGACACACUGUAUCCCCACACGAAUCGUCAAUUCUACAGAGAGUGUAGAAUCAGUGGCACCGUCGAUUUCAUAUUCGGUGAUGCCACGGUGGUCUUCCAAAACUGCCAAAUCCUGGUGAAGAAGGGCUUACCAAAUCAAAAGAACACCAUCACCGCCCAAGGCCGCAAAGACCCUGCUCAGCCCACGGGCUUCUCAAUACAAUUCUCCAACAUAUCAGCAGAUUCUGAUCUUCUGGCUUCAGUGAACUCCACACUCUCGUAC
rnacentral:lncRNA from 1 species